UAGGGAAUCUUCGGCAAUGGGGGGAACCCUGACCGAGCAACGCCGCGUGAGUGAAGAAGGUUUUCGGAUCGUAAAGCUCUGUUGUUAAGGAAGAACGAGUGUGAGAAUGGAAAGUUCAUGCUGUGACGGUACUUAACCAGAAAGGGACGGCUAACUACGUGCCAGCAGCCGCGGUAAUACGUAGGUCCCGAGCGUUGCCCGGAUUUAUUGGGCGUAAAGCGAGCGCAGGCGGUUAGAAAAGUCUGAAGUGAAAGGCAGUGGCUCAACCAUUGUAGGCUUUGGAAACUGUUUAACUUGAGUGCAGAAGGGGAGAGUGGAAUUCCAUGUGUAGCGGUGAAAUGCGUAGAUAUAUGGAGGAACACCAGUGGCGAAGGCGACUCUCUGGUCUGUAACUGACGCUGAGGCUCGAAAGCGUGGGUAGCAAACAGG
rnacentral:rRNA from 1 species